AUGAAGGAAGGGGAGAGUCGUGCAACAAGGGUGAGUGCCAAGGAGGUGAAGUCGGAGUCGGAGAAAGGGGAGGUGACGAUGCAGGACGAAGGCGAAGCAGGGGAUGCGUUGGUGGCGGUGGAAUCCAUGGCACCGACGCAGAUCGACGUGAGGAUGGACGUGACACUCCUCCAUUGCCAGGGCUGCCUCCUCCCCCUCAAGCCCCCCGUGUUCAAGUGCGAUGCCGUAGGGCACGUAGUGUGCUACUACUGCCGUGCCGGGCACCGCACCGUCUGCAGCCGUGCCAACACCCACUGCGGCCAGCUGGACAAGGUGGUCGGCGCCGCCAAGGUGCCAUGCCCCUACAAGGCGUUCGGCUGCGAGCGCUACGUGGUGUUCCAUGAGGCUGCGGACCACCAGCGCGUGUGCCUGUCCGCGCCCUGCACCUGCCCGGAGUCCGCAUGCGCUUUCAUGGGCUCCCGCGCGAUGCUGGUCGACCACUUCGCCGCCGAUCACCAGCGCCCCGCCGUCACGGUCCGCUAUGGCCGGUCUUGGAGCCUAAGCUUCUCCCUGUCGCACGGCUGGCACCUGCUCGUCGGGGAGGAGGACCGCAGCGUGUUCCUCGUCUCCCUCUGCCUGCUCGGUGCGGGCACCGCCGUGUCACUGAUGUGCAUCAGGCCGGACGGCGAGGCUGAGACGGGGCCCCGGUUCUGGUGCAAGCUCUCCAUUGAGCGUCGUGGCGGCGACAAGGACUACGACCUAGUUCUCAUGACCUCGCCGGUGAUCAGCAACGCGCUGUCCACGUGCGCGCCGGCGUUGGGCCAGGGGAUGUUCUUGGUGGUGCCCCAGGAGCUGCUCUCCGGCGACAUGCUCACCCUCAGCGUCCGGAUCGAUCUGAUCCCACCUGCCGCCGUCGCUCCCAAGUCAACUACACCGCAGGCCAGGGUGCCGCGGAGGAUGCAGUGA
rnacentral:rRNA from 1 species